rnacentral:lncRNA from 1 species
AUGUAUGUAAUAGUUAGAAUGUGGACAUGACAAAUUGUAUAAUGAUGUAUAGAUUUAAAAUGUAAUGAUAUUGAGGUUUAGAAGUGUGCUUGACCAUAGUUAUUGUAAUCCCUUUUUAUUACAUGAUCCUAGAUGUUUAUUGAUGUCUAUGCUUAGCCAACUCAACACAUGUAUAUCGCCCAUUGGGGCAUUGAUGAGAUCCCACAGAGGGGUCAAGUUUAUGAUUAUGGUUAUGUU